AACGCACGAGACCUGCGGACCUGCGGAAGGAUCAUUACCGAGUUUACUCAACUCCAAACCUUUGUGAACCUACCACUGUUGCUUCGGCGGGAUCGUCCUGGGAGACCAGGCGCCCGCCGAGGGACCCAAACUCUUGUAUUCCAGUGGAAUCUUCUGAGUAUCGAUUGAAUAAAUCAAAACUUUUAACAAUGGAUCUCU
rnacentral:misc_RNA from 1 species